rnacentral:rRNA from 1 species
AGUUGCAGGGUAUAGACCCGAAACCCGGUGAUCUAGCCAUGGGCAGGUUGAAGGUUGGGUAACACUAACUGGAGGACCGAACCGACUAAUGUUGAAAAAUUAGCGGAUGACUUGUGGCUGGGGGUGAAAGGCCAAUCAAACCGGGAGAUAGCUGGUUCUCCCCGAAAGCUAUUUAGGUAGCGCCUCGUGAACUCAUCUUCGGGGGUAGAGCACUGUUUCGGCUAGGGGGUCAUCCCGACUUACCAACCCGAUGCAAACUACGAAUACCGAAGAAUGUUAUCACGGGAGACACACGGCGGGUGCUAACGUUCGUCGUGAAGAGGGAAACAACCCAGACCGCCAGCUAAGGUCCCAAAGUCAUGGUUAAGUGGGAAACGAAGUGGGAAGGCUCAGACAGCCAGGAUGUUGGCUUAGAAGCAGCCAUCAUUUAAAGAAAGCGUAAUAGCUCACUGGUCGAGUCGGCCUGCGCGGAAGAUGUAACGGGGCUAAACCAUGCACCGAAGCUGCGGCAGCGACAUGUAAAUGUUGUUGGGUAGGGGAGCGUUCUGUAAGCCUGUGAAGGUGUGCUGCGAGGCAUGCUGGAGGUAUCAGAAGUGCGAAUGCUGACAUAAGUAACGAUAAUGCGGGUGAAAAACCCGCACGCCGGAAGACCAAGGGUUCCUGUCCAACGUUAAUCGGGGCAGGGUGAGUCGACCCCUAAGGCGAGGCAGAAAUGCGUAGUCGAUGGGAAACAGGUUAAUAUUCCUGUACUGGUGAUAAUUGCGAUGGGGGGACGGAGAAGGCUAGGCUGGCCGGGCGACGGUUGUCCCGGUUUAAGGAUGUAGGUGGG